rnacentral:rRNA from 1 species
UACAGAGGGUGCAAGCGUUGUCCGGAAUCACUGGGCGUAAAGGGCGCGUAGGCGGCCCGAUAAGUAGGGGGUGAAAUCUUGCGGCUCAACCCGCAAGGCUGCCUUCUAGACUGUCGGGCUUGAGCACAGUAGAGGCAGGUGGAAUUCCCGGUGUAGCGGUAGGAAUGCGUAGAGAUCGGGAAGAACAUCGGUGGCGAAGGCGGCCUGCUGGGCUGUUGCUGACGCUGAGGCGCGACAGCGUGGGGAGCAA